rnacentral:rRNA from 1 species
UACGGGGGGGAGCAAGCGUUGUUCGGAUUUACUGGGCGUAAAGGGCGCGUAGGCGGCCACCGCAAGUCAAUUGUGAAAUCUCCGGGCUUAACUCGGAAAGGUCAACUGAUACUGCGGGGCUAGAGUGCGAAAGGGGCAACUGGAAUUCUCGGUGUAGCGGUGAAAUGCGUAGAUAUCGAGAGGAACACCUGCGGCGAAGGCGGGUUGCUGGGCCGACACUGACGCUGAUGCGCGAAAGCCAGGGGAGCGAACGGG